rnacentral:rRNA from 1 species
CGGAGGGUGCAAGCGUUAUCCGGAUUUACUGGGUUUAAAGGGUGCGUAGGCGGAUAAGUAAGUCCGUGGUGAAAUCCUGCAGCUUAACUGCAGAACUGCCGUGGAUACUAUUUGUCUUGAAUAUCGUGGAGGUUAGCGGAAUAUGUCAUGUAGCGGUGAAAUGCUUAGAUAUGACAUAGAACACCCAUUGCGAAGGCAGCUAACUACGCGAUUAUUGACGCUGAUGCACGAAAGCGUGGGGAUCAAACAGGAUUAGAUACCCUGGUAGUCCACGCCCUAAACGAUGAUUACUCGACAUUGGCGAUACACUGUCAGUGUCUGAGCGAAAGCAUUAAGUAGUCCACCUGGGAAGUACGAUCGCAAGAUUG